rnacentral:lncRNA from 1 species
CUUCCCAGGAACAACAUUCUACAAGGCAACUAAAGCGGCCGAUGCGCUGCGAAAGGAGUUGAGGAUUGUGAUUCAGGAGAAGAAGGCUGCAAUGGCCGCAGGAGGUCCCAUGCAUGAUAUAUUGUCACACAUGAUUGCGGCUAGUGACCCAUCUGGCAAACUCAUGCCUGAGGCUGAGGUUGCAGAUAAGAUCAUGGGUUUGCUCACAGCGGGAUAUAGCACUGUGGCUACUGCCAUGACUUUCUUCAUGAAAUAUGUUGGAGAGAGGCCAGACAUCUAUGCCAAGGUUCUAGCUGGUAAAUACUAAUCACUUCACCUUAAUUUCUAUAUAAUUUUUGUGAUUACCAAAUUGGAUUUGGAGAUUUGGGGUUUAUUUUUUUAUGUUAAAAUUAAUUGUCUUGUGGAAUUACAGAGCAAAUGGAGAUUGCAAACUCCAAGAAGCCAGGAGACUUUUUGGAAUGGGAAGACAUCAACAAAAUGAAGUACUCAUGGAACGUGUUGUAUGAAGUGAUGAGAUUCACUCCACCACUUCAGGGGACAUUCAGAGAAGCCUUGACUGAUUUCACCUAUGCUGGUUACACCAUCCCAAAGGGCUGGAAGGUGUGUCACACAUUUUUUACUGCCCUGAAAACAUGAUAAUACUUGGAUCCUUACAUGUAAUUAUUUACAGCGCUUAAACAAAACAUAACUUGACGUACGCCCAAACACUUUUCUUUUUGUAGUUUUUAUAAGUAGUCACUUUAGUAUACGGGUCAGCAACUAAUUUGCAGCCAAGUAGUGUCAAAAAAUUAUUCAGCUUAAUUUGGUGACCUAAUAGCUUCUUUGAUUGAAAUUAAGUUAUUAUUUAUAUUAUUUUGCAGGUCUAUUGGACUGUUAGCACAACAAACAUGAACCCAGAGUACUUUCCCAACCCAGAAAAGUUUGACCCAUCAAGAUACGAUGACCUAAAUGCAUUCCCAGCAUUCACAUUCGUUCCAUUUGGAGGAGGGCCAAGAAUGUGCCCAGGCAAAGAGUACGCUCGCCUAGCAAUUCUCACUUUCGUUCACAACGUGGUCAAGAGGUUCAAAUGGGAAGUGUUAUUUCCUAAGGAGAAGAUCACCGGUGACAUGAUGCCAACACCGGAGAAAGGACUUCCAGUUCGCCUUACCCGUCACUAGGCAUCUCAUAUUGUUUUUAAUUUUUUUUUUUCUCAGCUUGGAAAUACUUGGCUCUUUUUUUUACCUGCAUGUAGUGAGAAAGUGCAAUACCAUGCUAUCCAUUACCUGUUUUCUAUUUGUAUAUUUGAAGUUGAAUUAGAAGAGAUAAUAAACAUAUAUUUCGAGUCAUUUAGUACUAUGAUCUGGUAACAUUCCUCUUCACUUGGAAGUGAAAGGUUUUAGAUUCGAAUAUCGUAGAUGACGAAUUCGAUACCAAAUUAAGCUGCCUACUGUAUGACUUAGCCGAACUUCUCAUCUUUACAAUAAAAAUAUCAAUGUAGUAAAAAAAAAAAUCAUAUAUUUCGAGACUCUUUGGUGUUAAUUAUAUUUGGGGACUUGGGCAGGGCAUCACUUUCAGCACAGCCUGGGCAUCACUUUCACAGAGGUGGGAAAUGAAUUGAACAAAGACAAAAAUCAAUAACAUUCUACUAUCUUCAAACUAGACAAGUCAUGUGAUCUUUAAAUUAACGAAGUUGUCGACAUCGGAUCUAGUCAAGUAAUUAAAGUAUAUGCUCUAGCUUCAGCGUUCAAGUUAUGUAAUUUGAUUAAAUUUUUAGGAUAAGGUAUCAGUUGUAUCAAAUUAAGAAAGUUAUUUCUUCUUUCCUCAGUUAAAUAGCAAUCCAUAAAAUACCAUUUACUUUUUUUUUAGAUUGGUAUGUCAUUCGUCAUCUCAAACAGUACAUAGAUGCUAAUUGGGUAUAAUACUCAAGUGACCAAACAAUGAUCGGAAAGUGAAUUUGCUCAAGUAAGAUAACAACAAUAAAAUUCCUGAACGGGUACCACAUGUGUCCAUUUACUGACAUGCUUGUAGUGGGUUUAAUCCCCUGUUGAUUGUUGUAGAUCAUGGGAUCCCUUGGCCAACUAAAGUUGACUUUCAAUUGAAUGUUGACCAAAUAUAAAAUUUCCCUGCUAAAGAAUGGGCAAUUUUUAACGUAUGCGGGCUGGGUAGUCCUCACUGCGUACUUUGAUUUCUACUUCUUUUGUUUGGGUCGAAAACUUCUCAAUUGCCGGGGGACUGUUUUUCAGGAGGUGCAUGUAACACCCAAAGAUUCAAUUUCGGUAGGCUAAAUGUAGAAAUUAUAGAAAGAUAUAUAAAUAUUGAUGGAAAUAUUAGUAUAAAAAUAUUAAAAACUAGAUAUAAAACAUAUAAAUUAUGUUUGGAAAUGGUAAUCUCUUAGACAGAUAUUGCUUCUAAUUUUGCCCGAUAUUGCACCAAAUUAUCAAAAUAUUAUCGAAACAGUCAAUCAAUAUUAUCAAAAUGUCUCUGAAAUUUCUGAAAAAAGAUCUUAGAAAAAUAUUGCUUCACAUCCUUUCGGGUAUGGACAACCUAAUUUUAUGGAUAUUUCGAUAAUGUAUGAGAUAUUUAGUACCUUGGCAAUUCAAUAUUAAUAUUUAUAAUUAUAUAACUGGGUUUCACACAUGCACUCUAGAGAAAAAUUCCAUAACCCAUGUGUACUCUUUUAGUAGAAGGGAGUCGAAGAAUUUCACACCUAAAUCAUGAGAUGUGGAUAAAUGAUAGUUAAUUUCUCCACUGUUUAGUAUAAAUUAUAAAUAUAUCAUUGUAUCUUUAAAGAGUCCUAAGUUUUGUCGGUGAAAGAUUUUAGGUUCGAAUAUCUUGAAUGACAAAUUCAAAACUAAUUUAUUUAUUCACCUAGUGCAAACAUAUCGUUGCAUAAAAAAUAAAAAUAAAACCUAUGUUUUAUCUUUUUUUGCCAAAACCCUAUAAGACUAUUUGGAAAAAAAGAAACAAAAACAAAAAAAACAAAAACCUAAAGACUAUUACAGUUUAAGUGUUACACCUAUGGGUGAUUUUCAAUCAGACCAGAUUAGAAACAAGCAUUCCAAUGCCAAUCCAAAAAAGUUUUAGAAUAAGAUAUUAAUUCUAAUUUCAGAAUUUGGGAUUAUUGAAAUUACAGAAUUGAUUUUAUCUCAGAAUUUUCAGAACAUAAUUUGAAUUUCCUACAUUUUGCAAGACUUUGAAAAUUUUCAAACAUUUAUAUAUCCACCAUUUUUACUAUAUUUGUAGGUAGUUACAUGUGUAUAUGACAUAAAAUCAUAUUAGACAUAAUAAAUAGUGCGUAUGAUUAUUCUUUUUUUAAUAUAAAAUAAAUAUAAUUAAAUAUACAAAAUACAAAAUAAAGCAUAAUUUUUUUAUGUACUAAGCUUUGAGAAAUUUCGAAAUUUUAGAUCGAAUAGGUACAUUUCAAUUGCCAUCUAAAUUUUUUGGAAAUUUUCGAAAUUGGAAAUGUUUAGACUCAGAAUGGAAAUUUUCAAUUCGGAUUGGAAUCUCCAAUCAAAACGAGCUUCCAAGCAAACAUGAGGUCUUGAAGAAAGAUGAGGUUAUAGAGAGUAGCCCAAUUAAGUAUAACUAAGUGCAUGUGAGAUUGAUACUCAACAAUCUUAAGCUAACACUUAGAUGAAUAACGAAGAUACAGAUGAGUAGAUGUGUAAUCGAAAGUCCCUGAAGAUCUUUUAUAAAACCAAUUAUGGAAGAUCUUUUAUAAAGCCAAUUUAGUAAUGCAGUAGUUAAGUAGAGAAUUCCAGCAAAAGGUUUCAGCUGUGGCCAUAAACCCUUUCAUGAACACUUAACUGCUAACAUCUGCAAAUUCCUUCCCACCACUUUUUCAGCAUUUCUUGAUGCAGUUAUGCAUUUUGGGGAUGAAGAUGUUUGGAACAGGAACCAGGAGUAGUCAGUUUACAAUGAGAAAAAGAAAAUUGAAGGACCACCUAGCAAUAAAUUUUGGGAGAGGCCUCUUUAGAAGGGCAAUUUACACUUGUGGAUUGGAGAACAUGAUACCUGUUGUUUUUUUAUUAUUUAUCCCCCAUCCCCAAAGAUUCUAAUAUGUGUCCCAUUUCAUAUUGGUGGUAUUAACUAAUCAGUUUAUUAGGCAACCAAAUUUGGCAAUAUAUGUUUGGACUAUUUGGGAGAAACACAAAAUUUCGGGUGAAAAGGUGAAUGCUCUUAGUCACUUAUUGACUUAGUUACUGGUUGAUUCCAUGUAAGUGGAAUAAAAAUGCUAGGCAUCAAUUGUUUGAGCAAGACAUGUUUGCUUUAAUAAAAAGUAAGUCACUUAGUACUACGGUUUAGUGGUAUUCUUCUUCAUUUGUAAGUGAGAGGUUUUAAGUUUGAUUAUCGUCAAAAGGUGAAUUUGAACCACAUUGUUGCUAGCCCAUUAUGAGAUUAAGCUCACCUCCUUCUUUUUAGUGUAGAUAAUAUCGUUUGUUAAAAAAAAAGUAAAAAAAAAAAGAGUAAAACUCUAUUAAUUAAUUGAUUAAUUAAUUAAACAUGUUACACAAAGAAAACCAAACAGACUGCAUGUAUCAGAAUAAAUUGCAUUUACAAUAAACCAAGGGUUGGUAUCUAUACAUUCAAUGGAGCAAGUAACUAUGCGUUUUUGUAUGAAUAUAUACCGCAUGUGAAGUUUGAAUAUUUUAUUUAUGUCAAACCAAGCCAUCCUUUCUGAAUAAUAUUUUAAGCUUGUCACCUUUGGUGUGCUACGGCUAAAUCAAAGUGUUGACACCGCCGGAUCUUUCCCUAUAAAACCCCUAACUUUCCAAGCUUCCUACACACCACUCCUCUUGCUAACUUCAAUCAGUCUCUGAUAAGAAAUUUGAGCCUUGAUCAGCACCAAAUUCCAGCCAUGGAGACCCUUUACCUUAUAUUUUCUGUGGGUGCUGCUUUCUUAGCCUUUACCAUCUUUGCACUCAAGGGCAAAUCAGAUGAUGGAAAAAAUCUUCCACCAGGGAGCAUGGGGUGGCCUAUUGUGGGUGAAUCAAUCGAGUUCUUGUUCGGGAAGCCGGAAAAUUUUGUGUUCAAGAGGAUGAGGAAGUACUCUCCUGACAUCUUCAAGACCUAUAUUCUUGGAGAGAAAACUGCAGUGAUCUGUGGUCCUAGUGGACACAAAUUUCUGUUCUCCAAUGAACAAAAGUACUUCACAGCUUUUCGACCACAUUCGAUGCAAAAGAUGUUUCGAUCAUACAAGGCUGCCGCCCCCACUGCUUCUGCUGCCCCCGCUGUGGCACAACCUUCUCGCGAUGAAGAAUCGAAAGUUAUAAGAUCGCCGGGGUUUUUGAAGCCGGAAGCAUUGGUGAGGUACUUGGGGAAAAUGGACUCUAUCACUCAGGAGCAGAUGAAGGCCUAUUGGGAAGGCAAAGAUGAGGUCAAGGUCUACCCUUUGGCCAAGACACUCACUCUAAGUCUUGCCUGCAGAUUCUUCUUGGGGAUCGACGAUUCCGAGCGAAUUGCAAGGCUGGUGAGCAAUUUUGAUGAUGUUACUGUUGGGAUGCAUUCACUUAUUAUCAACUUCCCAGGAACAACAUUCUAUAAGGCAACCAAAGCAGCCGACGCGCUGCGAAAGGAGUUGAGGAUUGUGAUUCAGGAGAAGAAGGCUGCAAUGGCCGCAGGAGGUCCCAUGCAUGAUAUAUUGUCACAUAUGAUCGUGGCUAGUGAUCCAUCCGGUAAACACAUGCCCGAGGCU